GGACUACCAGGGUUUCUAAUCCUGUUUGCUCCCCAUGCUUUCGCGUCUCAGCGUCAAUCACCGUCCAGAUGGCCGCCUUCGCCACCGGUGUUCCUCCCCAUAUCUACGAAUUUCACCUCUACUUGGGGAAUUCCGCCAUCCUCUCCGGCAUUCGAGCUCGGCAGUUUCGGGCGCACUUCCUCAGUUAAGCUGAGGGAUUUCACACCCGACUUGCAAAGCCGCCUACACGCGCUUUACGCCCAAUAAUUCCGAACAACGCUUGCACCCUCUGUAUUACCGCGGCUGCUGGCAC
rnacentral:rRNA from 1 species